rnacentral:rRNA from 1 species
GGGAAACUGCCUGAUGGAGGGGGAUAACUACUGGAAACGGUAGCUAAUACCGCAUAACGUCGCAAGACCAAAGAGGGGGACCUUCGGGCCUCUUGCCAUCGGAUGUGCCCAGAUGGGAUUAGCUAGUAGGUGGGGUAACGGCUCACCUAGGCGACGAUCCCUAGCUGGUCUGAGAGGAUGACCAGCCACACUGGAACUGAGACACGGUCCAGACUCCUACGGGAGGCAGCAGUGGGGAAUAUUGCACAAUGGGCGCAAGCCUGAUGCAGCCAUGCCGCGUGUAUGAAGAAGGCCUUCGGGUUGUAAAGUACUUUCAGCGGGGAGGAAGGCGAUAAGGUUAAUAACCUUGUCGAUUGACGUUACCCGCAGAAGAAGCACCGGCUAACUCCGUGCCAGCAGCCGCGGUAAUACGGAGGGUGCAAGCGUUAAUCGGAAUUACUGGGCGUAAAGCGCACGCAGGCGGUCUGUCAAGUCGGAUGUGAAAUCCCCGGGCUCAACCUGGGAACUGCAUUCGAAACUGGCAGGCUAGAGUCUUGUAGAGGGGGGUAGAAUUCCAGGUGUAGCGGUGAAAUGC